ACCUUUGCUUGUUGAUGGUUCCUGGAA
rnacentral:sRNA from 1 species